UACGGAGGAUGCGAGCGUUAUCCGGAUUUAUUGGGUUUAAAGGGUGCGUAGGCGGGUUAUUAAGUCAGCGGUAAAAUCGUGGAGCUCAACUCCAUCCAGCCGUUGAAACUGAUGAUCUUGAGUGGGCGAGAAGUAUGCGGAAUGCGUGGUGUAGCGGUGAAAUGCAUAGAUAUCACGCAGAACUCCGAUUGCGAAGGCAGCAUACCGGCGCCCGACUGACGCUGAAGCACGAAAGCGUGGGUAUCGAACAGG
rnacentral:rRNA from 1 species